rnacentral:misc_RNA from 1 species
GCUCCGUUGGUGAACCAGCGGAGGGAUCAUUAUCGAGUUUAUAACUCCCAAACCCUAUGUGAACUUACCACUUGUUGCUUCGGCGCGCGCUUCGGCGCCGCCGAGGACACUUAAACUCUUUGUUUUUAUAAGCAUUUCUGAGUGGCCGAAAGGCAAAAUACAAAUGAAUCAAAACUUUCAACGACGGAUCUCUUGGUUCUG